GAGGGUAUAGCUCAGUGGUAGGGUACAUACUUAGCAUGCAUGAGGUCCUGGGUUCAUUACCCAGUACUUCCA
rnacentral:tRNA from 1 species